UACGGGGGGGGCAAGCGUUGUUCGGAAUUACUGGGCGUAAAGGGUGCGUAGGCGGUCUGUUAAGUUGGAUGUGAAAACUCUGGGCUCAACCCAGAGCCUGCAUCCAAAACUGGCAGGCUAGAGUUCUGGAGGGGGUAGCGGAAUUCCUGGUGUAGCGGUGAAAUGCGUAGAUAUCAGGAGGAACACCGAUGGCGAAGGCAGGUCUCUGGGCAUUAACUGACGCUGAGGAGCGAAAGCAUGGGGAGCGAACAGG
rnacentral:rRNA from 1 species